CUGAUGUGAAAGCCCCCGGCUCAACCGGGGAGGGUCAUUGGAAACUGGGGAACUUGAGUGCAGAAGAGGAGAGUGGAAUUCCACGUGUAGCGGUGAAAUGCGUAGAGAUGUGGAGGAACACCAGUGGCGAAGGCGACUCUCUGGUCUGUAACUGACGCUGAGGAGCGAAAGCGUGGGGAGCAAACAGGAUUAGAUACCCUGGUAGUCCACGCCGUAAACGAUGAGUGCUAAGUGUUAGGGGGUUUCCGCCCCUUAGUGCUGCAGCUAACGCAUUAAGCACUCCGCCUGGGGAGUACGGUCGCA
rnacentral:rRNA from 1 species